UACGGAAGGUGCGAGCGUUAAUCGGAAUUACUGGGCGUAAAGCGCACGUAGGCGGUUACUUAAGUCGGAUGUGAAAGCCCCGGGCUCAACCUGGGAAUUGCAUUUGAAACUGGAAAACUAGAGUGUGUGAGAGGGGGGUAGAAUUCCAAGUGUAGCGGUGAAAUGCGUAGAGAUUUGGAGGAAUACCAGUGGCGAAGGCGGCCCCCUGGCACAACACUGACGCUCAGGUGCGAAAGCGUGGGGAGCAAACAGGAUUAGAUACCCGUGUAGU
rnacentral:rRNA from 1 species